AUUGAACGCUGGCGGCAGGCCUAACACAUGCAAGUCGAGCGGCAGCGGGAAAUUAGCUUGCUACUUUUGCCGGCGAGCGGCGGACGGGUGAGUAAUGCCUGGGGAUCUGCCCAGUCGAGGGGGAUAACAGUUGGAAACGACUGCUAAUACCGCAUACGCCCUACGGGGGAAAGCAGGGGACCUUCGGGCCUUGCGCGAUUGGAUGAACCCAGGUGGGAUUAGCUAGUUGGUGAGGUAAUGGCUCACCAAGGCGACGAUCCCUAGCUGGUCUGGGAGGAUGAUCAGCCACACUGGAACUGAGACACGGUCCAGACUCCUACGGGAGGCAGCAGUGGGGAAUAUUGCACAAUGGGGGAAACCCUGAUGCAGCCAUGCCGCGUGUGUGAAGAAGGCCUUCGGGUUGUAAAGCACUUUCAGCGAGGAGGAAAGGUUGGUAGCUAAUAACUGCCAGCUGUGACGUUACUCGCAGAAGAAGCACCGGCUAACUCCGUGCCAGCCGCCGCGGUAA
rnacentral:rRNA from 1 species